AACAAGAAGUAAUAGUUUUUGUAGCGGAAUGCACCAUAGAAACUCCAUAUAGCUGAGCCAAGUGAUUUAAAAGGACUAACCAAGCAAAGUAAAGAAACAAUGAAGAAGGGAACUGAGGCAGCCAGCCAAGCAACACCAAGUUACUCUAUAACCAGGGUUGAAGGGACUGACUUCUUUUUGAAAUCCAGCAG